CACACAGGCCGGGUUAGCAGGGGAUGGGGGAGGACUUGAGGACAGCAGUACAGACAACAGACAAGGAGUCCUGCUGUGAAGGGGGGCAGAGAAAUGAGGUUGGACCUGAAAGGGGAAGUGGGGGUAGAGAGAGGGCUUUACUUUUAGAAUGGAGAAAUUACAGUCUGGUUGUGUGCUGGUGGGAAGUGCUUUCCUAGAGACAAGUUCGGUGAAGGGGGCGAGGAUGGAGGAUGGCUGCAGGAGGGCAGGGGGAUGGAUCCCGUGCCCCAGGGAGGCUUGGUGCCAGCUGAAAGCCAGGACAGUUCAACAGCUGGCCUUCCCUGGGCCUCCCUCCCUCUCCUGUCUGCAGGGGCCCAGUGGACUGAGAUUUCAGCACUUAAACACAUUAACUGGCUCGGGGCCCCAGAGAAACCAGGCUGGCUGUGGUCUCAGGAAGGAAGAAGGUGUCAGGGCUUGGGGAUAAGGGAGGACCCACGUGUGUUGCCCCUUCUGCUUGAUCCUCUUUCAGCAAGGAAGUGCCCCUCCCUUUGCAUGGGUGGGCUUCACUUUCCUGGAGGAGAGACUGUAAUGACUCCAAAGGUGUGGUCACUGAAGUGGAGAAGAAAAGGCACUGCGAUAGGCUGAUGUAUUUAGUCUGAAGGGGGGAAGUCUGAGCAGGUGAUCAAGGGGCAAGAGGCAGGAUUUUAGGGACAGUUUUUAUGAAAUAGGUGAUGAGUGGACAUGUAUUUUCUUUCUCCCAAUUUGAAUUGAAGCAGGAGAAACUUAAGCUAGAUAUAAGGAGGAGCUUCCUGAGCUGGUUAGGGAGGACAGUAAGAAGGCCAGAUCCUCCCCCCUCAGUGUUUAAGAUGGGAGAGGACAAUGCCUGUUCAGAGACAGGGGGCUGGCCAAAUUGGUCCUUGGGGAUUCUCCCUGCUCUGAGGUUUCCGGAAGAAAGCCAGGGCAGAAGAUGGAACUUUCCAGCUGCUAGGGGGAGGACAGAGUGCCGAACCUUAUGGCUUGGCCUGCCUCUCCCUCCUGGUGUCCACAGAGCCCUGAUGUCACUGGCUUGGGUGUGUGUGGCUUGAGCGUCCAUCGGGCUGCCCCAGACUUGGUGUGUUCAGGAAGGGCCCUGCUUACUCACAGCUUGUCCCUCUGUGGGUGAGCACUUCUGUGGGCGUGUCUCAGGUCCCAGCGGGGUCUCUCAGUGUGGGUCAUGGUGGACGCACAAGGCUUUGCACCAGAACUGCUGAGAAUUACCUAUUUCUGCACAGCUGGUUGGACAACUCUGGCUUCUGGCUCAUCCUUCCGGGGUUUCCCCGGAAGCUAGGGUCUCUGGGCAGAUCCAGGCCUGUCA